GGAAUAUUCGGUGGUUCAGUGGUAGAAUGCUCGCCUGCCACGCGGGCGGCCCGGGUUCGAUACCCGGCAUAUUUUU